rnacentral:rRNA from 1 species
AUCUGGCUCAGGAUGAACGCUAGCUACAGGCUUAACACAUGCAAGUCGAGGGGCAGCAUGAUCGAAGCUUGCUUGAUUGAUGGCGACCGGCGCACGGGUGAGUAACGCGUAUCCAACCUUCCCUAUAGUAGAGGAUAGCCCGGCGAAAGUCGGAUUAAUACUCUAUGUUUUCCAAUGCAGACAUCUAAGUUGGAACAAAGGUUCACCGCUAUAGGAUGGGGAUGCGUCUGAUUAGGUUGUUGGCGGGGUAACGGCCCACCAAGCCUACGAUCAGUAGGGGUUCUGAGAGGAAGGUCCCCCACAUUGGAACUGAGACACGGUCCAAACUCCUACGGGAGGCAGCAGUGAGGAAUAUUGGUCAAUGGGCGAGAGCCUGAACCAGACCCAAGUAGCGUGCAGGAUGACGGCCCUAUGGGUUGUAAACUGCUUUUAUACGGGGAUAAAGUGAGGGACGUGUCCCUUUUUGUAGGUACCGUAUGAAUAAGGACCGGCUAAUUCCGUGCCAGCCGCCGC